GGAAACAGAUGCUAAUACCGGAUAACAACAGAUGAUGCCUAUCAACUGUUUAAAAGAUGGUUCUGCUAUCACUCUUGGAUGGACCUGCGGUGCAUUAGCUAGUUGGUAGGGUAACGGCCUACCAAGGCGAUGAUGCAUAGCCGAGUUGAGAGACUGAUCGGCCACAUUGGGACUGAGACACGGCCCAAACUCCUACGGGAGGCAGCAGAC
rnacentral:rRNA from 1 species